CCAAGGAGUCUAACAUGUGCGCGAGUCGUUGGGUCUUGUUCAGGCCCAGAGGCGCAAUGAAAGUGAAGGACGCCCCAGUCGGUGUCCGCGUUGGGAUCCCGGGGCCGCGAGCCCCGGGCGCACCAACGGCCCGUCCCGUCCGCCACGUCGGUGGGACGGAGCGAGAGCGUACACGUUGGGACCCGAAAGAUGGUGAACUAUGCCUGGGCAGGACGAGGCCAGAGGAAACUCUGGUGGAGGUCCGCAGCGAUUCUGACGUGCAAAUCGAUCGUCAGACCUUGGUAUAGGGGCGAAAGACUAAUCGAACCGUCUAGUAGCUGGUUCCCUCCGAAGUUUCCCUCAGGAUAGCUGGUGCUCGAUCGGAAUCAGUCUCAUCCGGUAAAGCGAAUGAUUAGAGGCCUUGGGGCCGAAACGACCUCAACCUAUUCUCAAACUUUCAAUGGGUGAGAAGUCCGGUUUACCCGACCGAAGCCCGGACGAUUGUCAGGAUGUGAGUGCCCAGUGGGCCACUUUU
rnacentral:rRNA from 1 species